AACGCUAGCUACAGGCUUAACACAUGCAAGUCGAGGGGCAGCAUGGACAUAGCUUGCUAUGUCUGAUGGCGACCGGCGCACGGGUGCGUAACACGUAUCCAAUCUGCCCGUCACUCGGGGAUAGCCUUCUGAAAGGAAGGUUAAUACCCGAUGGCAUGCAUCUGCGGCAUCGGAGAUGCAUUAAAGAUUUUAUCGGUGACGGAUGAGGAUGCGUACGAUUAGCUUGUUGGCGGGGUAACGGCCCACCAAGGCGACGAUCGUUAGGGGUUCUGAGAGGAAGGUCCCCCACACUGGAACUGAGACACGGUCCAGACUCCUACGGGAGGCAGCAGUGAGGAAUAUUGGUCAAUGGUCGGAAGACUGAACCAGCCAAGUAGCGUGAAGGAUGACUGCCCUACGGGUUGUAAACUUCUUUUGUUUGGGAAUAAAAGACGCUACGUGUAGCGUUCUGCAUGUACCUUACGGAUAAGCAUCGGCUAAUUCCGUGCCAGCAGCCGCGGUAAUACGGAAGAUGCGAGCGUUAUCCGGAUUUAUUGGGUUUAAAGGGAGCGUAGGCGGGCUGUUAAGUCAGCGGUAAAAUGUCAAGGCCCAACCUUGUCCUGCCGUUGAAACUGGCGGUCUUGAAUGCACACAAGGGAGAUGGAAUUCGUCGUGUAGCGGUGAAAUGCUUAGAUAUGACGAAGAACUCCGAUUGCGAAGGCAGUCUCCUGGGGUGCUAUUGACGCUGAGGCUCGAAAGUGCGGGUAUCAAACAGGAUUAGAUACCCUGGUAGUCCGCACAGUAAACGAUGAAUGCUGGUUCUUGGCGAUACAGUGUCAGGAACUGAGGGAAACCAUUAAGCAUUCCACCUGGGGAGUACGCCGGCAACGGUGAAACUCAAAGGAAUUGACGGGGGCCCGCACAAGCGGAGGAACAUGUGGUUUAAUUCGAUGAUACGCGAGGAACCUUACCCGGGCUUGAAUUGCAGCUGCAUGGGGCAGAGAUGUCCCUUCCCUUCGGGGCUGCUGUGAAGGUGCUGCAUGGUUGUCGUCAGCUCGUGCCGUGAGGUGUCGGCUUAAGUGC
rnacentral:rRNA from 1 species